UACAGAGGGUGCAAGCGUUAAUCGGAAUUACUGGGCGUAAAGCGUGCGUAGACGGUUACAUAAGUCGGGUGUGAAAGCCCCGGGCUCAACCUGGGAAUUGCAUUCGAGACUGCGUAGCUAGGGUGCGGAAGAGGGAAGCGGAAUUUCCGGUGUAGCGGUGAAAUGCGUAGAUAUCGGAAGGAACACCAGUGGCGAAAGCGGCUUCCUGGUCCAGCACCGACGUUCAGGCACGAAAGCGUGGGGAGCAGACAGG
rnacentral:rRNA from 1 species